AUCAGUUAGACAGUUUUAUGUUGGUACCUCAUCACAUGUUAUUUCUGAUAAUUUUCAGGAAUGUAAGUCACAUAACCUAAACGAUCCACCUGUUGAUGUUUCAUCACAAACCAGAAUGCAUGUUGGGAUGAAUGAACCAGAGACAGGUAAAUCUAUUGGGAUGCAUUCAGUUCAGGAAAGUAUGCAUGGUGCAUGUCUACCUUCAAGAUUUUCUGCUCCAUCUGUAGUUUGUAAAGAUGUUGUGCACAGAGAGACAAAAGUAUCAAAAUUUAAUGUAGUUUUAUCAAAAGGAAGCAAAGAGAACAUGUCAGAACAUAACUUGUCCAUCAAACCAAGAAUCGUCAGAACAGUGAGUGCUCCCAGUUCUUUGAAGGACCGCAGUACUAAGGAAGAGUUCAUCUUACCUUCUUUUUUCCGCCACUCUGCCAAAGCAUCUCAGAUAGAUUCCGAACAUAGUGAAUCAUCCACAAGACCUAGCCCCCAUUUGCUUAGAAAAUCUGAGUCUUGUCCAACAGAUAAAUAUUUACCAGCAGGGCAUCGGAUAAAGUCAACUAAAUAUUAUCUGUCUCCCCAGUCAGCUCAUGCUGCUUCUCAUUCCAACGGACAUCAACAUCAUGAUCGAUAUCACGAUCAGCAUCAUGAUCGACAUCAUGAUCAACAUCACAAUCGACAUCAUGAUCAUCAUCAUGAUGAAAAUCAUGAUCGACAUCGUCAUCAUUCUAUGUCUUCUAGUCAUUCACCUACACGUAGUCAUGCAAAAUACCAGUCAUCUUUAACUGUUCAUAUCAAAUCCCACAGCAGAUCUGUGGAAAAUGUAAGUGUAGAUAGUCGACAAGUUCAUUUGAAAUGUGAUAAAAUGGAUACAGAUGUCUUUGCUUCAAGUUACCAAUGUCAACUGUCUGUACCUAUGAAAACAUCUGUGUUUGCAGCAGGUGAUGUUACACAGACAGAAAAAUCUCAAACAUACAAAUACAAUCUGGAUAGUUGGCUGCAGUCUGUGUUAAAAGUGAAUGAGUUGAAUCCCCAUGAAUCUUUUUGUUCCUCACACAGAUCUGGUGGUGCUGACUGGACUGUUAGGAGUCAUUCACCAUUAGGAGAGUCCUUGUCAAAUCGAAGGAUGUCUGGAGAUACUAACUUACACACUGUAGGUGGUGAUUACAUGCAAGAUAACAUUCCCCAACGUUCUAGUCUAAACAUUAAUCCAAGCUGUCACAGAGCUGCACACGAAAAACACUGUUUUGAAGAUUCAAGACAAUUGGUACCUGAGGUUUCUUCUCAGACUGAAUGGGGGCUUCGGCCACCAAAAUACUACAGACAAUUUUCAUCAUCUGAUCAUUCUGAUGAUGCCAGUGUGUCGAAGGAUCCUCAAGUUGCCAUACACAUCACUGAUGACGCUUCCGACAGUAUGUUUUCUGACAGCUUCCUCACUCCUAGAAGCAGCAUUCAUGACGAUGUGUCAAUGAGACAUUCCUCAAGGAGUCCCAGAGGUAGCUUUAGUAGCAUAUACAGCACACGGUCUAGCAAUGCAGACUCCGCUGUGGAUAUCCAUAACCCCGAGGAUGAACUCAUGGAAGUGACUGGAGCCAAUGUCAGUAGUGCCAGUCUCAGACCUACAGACCUGUUCAGAGACACUUGGACUUGUAACGUUUCUGAUUCAAGCGAUCACACAACAAACACUUUGACACUGCCACCAUUUGUGAUCACUGAUCAUAGCAGCCCAAGAUCUUCGCUAGUUACAUAUGAGUUGUCUGAUACUGAUACGAGUAUGUUAUCAACUCCAGACUGUCUAGAUUCAAGUCUUUCAGACUUUUCUUUGUCUGAUAGUGAUGUGGAGUCACCAGUAAAAAGCAAGCAAAGUUCAUGGAAGAAGAUACGUGGUAUUAUAAAAUGGUCCCCAUUUGUCCAGGUUUUCAAGAAAAACAAGUAUCCUUGGAUACAGUUAGCCGGACAUCAAGGCAACUUCCAGGCGGGUGAGUCUGGUUCGGUGCUAAAGAAGCUGGACAAGAAGGAAAAGCAGUGCUAUGUCAAACUGAUGCUCGACAAACUGCGACCAUUUGUACCAGAAUACAAGGGAGAUGUGGAGAAAAAUGGCGAAAAAUACCUCCAGCUACAAGACCUCCUGUGUGAUUUUCAAGUGCCUUGUGUGAUGGACAUCAAGAUGGGAUGUCGGUCGUUUCUUGAAGAGGAGCUGGAAAAGGCCAGGAUCAAGCCCACUCUUCGCAAGGACAUGUACCAGAAGAUGAUAGAGGUAGAACCCAAUGCCCCUACCGAUGAGGAGAAUACCCAGAAGGCAGUGACGAAACCGCGGUACAUGCAGUGGAGGGAUGAUAUCAGCUCAUCAGUCAAUCUGGGCUUCAGAGUGGAAGGAGUAAAGAAGAGUGAUGGGACUUCCAGUAAAGAUUUCAAGAAGGCGAAGAACGAGGAUCAAGUGAGGGAAAUACUCAGGUCGUUCAUUGGAGACAACGCGUCUGUGCUGCCCAUGUAUAUUGACCGACUGAAGGAAAUAAGAAGUGCACAGGAGACAUCAGAGUUUUUUCUACGGCAUGAAAAUGGAACUGUUGUGGACCUCCUGAACUGAGGUAUAUGUAUGCUGUGUAUAUGGAGCUACUGAAACAGAUGUUGGGAUUGAUACUCAGAUAAUAGGCAGCUCCCUUUUGUUUGUGCAUGAUGCCAAUAACGCCAGUGUGUGGAUGAUAGACUUUGGCAAGUCUGUACCCUUGCCAGAACACAUUGAAGUAAACCACAGAGACUGUUGGAAAGAGGGAAACC
rnacentral:misc_RNA from 1 species